GGAUGUGAGGAGGAUUCCCUCGAGGAGGGUUCGGAUCGACGGCAAGCUUAGCCGUACACUAUCUCAGCGUUGCUGUCCGGCUUAGGAGUUGAGGCCUAGCACCAUCAUUGCCAUCUACCCUCAGUAGGUUAUCUAUUAACCUACUUUAUGUAUCACGUUUUAUUUGUUUCCUUUAGAUUGCUCUGAUGACCUUGGGAGGAUUUAUUUAAACAUUUGUAUAAUUAUGAGUGUGACGGAGUUGUAUAAUUUGGAGGAAGUAGGAAGAUUUGAUUUGCUGGGUUGUAAUUUUUAUGAGUGGUUAUGUUUGUGUAUUUACGGUGUUUUUACUUGGAAUUUUGCGGAUU